GACGAACGCUGGCGGCGCGCCUAACACAUGCAAGUCGAACGAGCGAGAGAGAGCUUGCUUUCUCGAGCGAGUGGCGAACGGGUGAGUAACGCGUGAGGAACCUGCCUCAAAGAGGGGGACAACAGUUGGAAACGACUGCUAAUACCGCAUAAGCCCACGGUGCCGCAUGGCACAGAGGGAAAAGGAGCAAUCCGCUUUGAGAUGGCCUCGCGUCCGAUUAGCUAGUUGGUGAGGUAAUGGCCCACCAAGGCGACGAUCGGUAGCCGGACUGAGAGGUUGAACGGCCACAUGGGGACUGAGACACGGACCAGACUCCUACGGGAGGCAGCAGUGGGGAAUAUUGCACAAUGGGGGAAACCCUGAUGCAGCGACGCCGCGUGGAGGAAGAAGGUCUUCGGAUUGUAAACUCCUGUUGUUGGGGAAGAUAAUGACGGUACCCAACAAGGAAGUGACGGCUAACUACGUA
rnacentral:rRNA from 1 species